rnacentral:lncRNA from 1 species
CGGCUGGGGGCUUUAUUAGGGGGCACCGGGGUCUGCUUUCCGACUCCCUUCCGACUCCGCGCCUGCGCAGGAAGCGAUUUGGGGAGUGUUGUGAAUUCCGAGGGCUCCACACUUAAGAGGUUGUACACUCACCUGUCUACCUGGACUCCAAUUUCCAUAUUUCCAGCCACUUGAGGACUGAGAGGUGGAUGAUAAACCCUGUCAUAGUGGAGCAAGUUCAGGUGUUUAACCGCUGUUAUGGGGGAUCUGCCUUUUCUCCCUCUUCUUUCUUACUUCCAUAAGUAUGUAUGUGCAGAGAUUGAAAAAUAACCUUGAGAGAGUCCAUCCAUCUAACUCCAGUUCAUUGGAAAUUUCUGCUUCUUUGAGACUGAGGUUAUAUUCCACUUCUUCUGACUACACCACCACCAUCAAUCUCCUUCUCUGAACUCUUGGAUCAUUACUUCAACCUGAAACAACUCAUCAGGGUAUUGGUUCCAGGUUCACCUGUGCAUACUAAAACCCAGGCAUACUCAAAUCCCAGAGUUGACUCUGAAGCAUCUGAGGAUAGGAAAAGUCAGCUCUCCUUAUACAGGUUUUUGCCUCCUGCGAAUACCGUAUUUUCAAUCUGGGUUUGGUUUGAGUUUGGUGUGGAGGGCCAACUGUACUUACUGAAAAAAAUCUGCAUAUAACUGGACCUAUGCAGUUCAAAUACCUGUUGUUUAAGGGUCAACUGUGGUUGGUUCCCUUGUGAUAAUUGUACUGCUAGUGCAUCUCGCUCUUGUGUUUAAUGCUGAGCAGACUUGGUUAGUAUCACAGUAAGCCUUUAUUUUUCUUUUUAGAAUCAUGCACUCAAUAGUGUCUACCUGUCAAGAAGAUCCACAGCUAAAUUACUAACAUAGUGCUUAUGUAAGCAAAUUCUUAUGAAUUGUGCUUUCAGAAUGAUUUAUUGCAGCUUUAUAGCUUUUGCUAUGACAUAUUUUAUCUACAUUUAAAAUUUUAUUUAAAAUAAUAGCAAACUGGAAUGCAGCUGUAGUUAAGAAUUGCAUUUGGCCAAGAAGACAAUUUUUAAUAAGUUGUCUGUGUGCAUGGAUUCACCCAGUGUUUUUUUAAAGUAUUGAUUUUUAAUUGAUAUAUAAUAAUUGUAUAUACCUAUGGAGUACAGUGUGAUAUUCUAAUACAUGUAUACAAUGUGUAAUGAUCAAAUCAUGGUAUUUAGCAUAUUCAUCACUUCGAAUAUUUAUCAUUUCUUUGUGUUGGGAACACUCAAAAUCCUCUCUUUUAGAUAUUUGAAAAUAUACAAUAAAUUAUUGUUAACUAUAGUCAAGCU